rnacentral:rRNA from 1 species
GGGCGCAGUUGCGGUCAGCGGCGGCGUCGGUUCACAAGUAGAACGGCCUGCCGCCCACUCGUGCGAAGAGGGAGGGGAGUGAGCAUGGAGGGAGCGGUGGUGGUGGAAAGGGAGAGGAUGCCGCGGCCGGAGCUGGAGGCGGAGGCAUGCGGGGGGUGGCCUUGGUGGGGCGCCGGCGUGUGAGGAACGCCGCCGCAGCAGUAGGGGCCUGGGGGUGGUGGCAGCGGCGAGAGGCGAUCUGUGCCGCCCGAGCCGAGCAACCCUGGGUUUAGGACGGCGGCGUCGUGGCUAGACGGACCUAGGCGAACGGCCUGCGACGGAGGAGGCGGCCGCCAUCCAUGAGCGUUCUGUCCGGCGCGGGUCUUUCGUCCCGGAAAGAAGAGGCCAUCGUGCUUUGCAAUCUAGGGUUCGUUUCGUUUCUCCUUUGUAAGGGGACACAAGGGGUAGGUUAGAAAUGGUACCUUUGGCGGUCGUUUUUGCAGUGGUUACACCACGCGAGGUACUUCGACGAGUUCCACCUGCCGAUGACACGGUGGUUCUGGUACCCGUUGCUGCUGACGUAGUUUAGGUGAGUGUUGUAACCGCCCAUACUCACCCUCUAGACGUAGAUGGGGCGGUACUACGGCGCGCGUGCGCUGCCGUGGGGCACCCACCGCCACUUCGAGCACAAGGAGUCGCUCUGGACGGGCAGGUAGCACUCCCGCUUGGACUCGACAGCAGACCGACUAGGCUCUUCGCACGAAGCUGGCAGACUUCUUUUCUCACACAGUACAUAUAAGUUGGCAAGUACCCAUAGUGCAACAGACGUCUACACGAGCGGAAAACAGUUUCUUCUAACAAGUGAAGGUCAAGCAGAGUACAGCUGCCCGUCGGACCGUAGUAGACCAAUAGAGUCCUUACUAAGAAAAUGGCACGAUACGCAUCAGUGGCACGACUUCCUCCUAAACGGUCGUGCUCGUCGUUGACACGGCCCAUUUCUUCACUGACCCAGUAGUGGAUCGAACGUUGUGGUGGAGCGACUCGAGGACUUGUCACCCAACCUUCGCCUACAGUGUAAAGAGCACAGGCCGUUCAGGAAGCGACGUGUGUUCCAGUAAGAACGACGUUCCAGGGGACAUGACUACCGGCUCAAGAAACCGGUGUACUUCCUCUGCUCGAGAGUCGCGCAGCUCUAGUUCCUGUAACUACGCCACCAUAAGUUCAGCAACGAAAUGAAGUAGAUGUGACUGAGACACGACCUUAAGCUAGACGUCGUACUCCGCCAGUGCUACAACCGGGUCGUAAAUGAACGUCGACGACUGUUCAUACCUGACCUGUCCGAGUUCCUCUAGACGCUUCCGUUCGAGAGACUACCGUAGUCAUAGCUGUGCCGUCGUUGAUGAGACCGUAAUCGUCUCGUCGUGUUGACGGACGUCGAGUUCCACUUUACGCAGCUGAAGUAGCAAUCGUGAGGACGUUAAGAACUACGACACAACCGCUGACUACCUAUAUUCGUAGAUCUCCGUUCGACGGGAUACCACAACGGACUCGAAGAGUUCAGACGCGCCCCGUCUUUCUCGACUGUCCAUUGGUACUCCCGCGGUUUACAGGUUCUAAACUAAUACGUACAUAAGACAAACACGAACGUGAACACGGACAUAGGUGGAUUUCACCUUUUGGAAUACAGGUAGAUAUAUACAAUACUCGUUGAAUGACGAGCUCAAACCGGAGGUUAAACUAAAUUAAAUCACGGUUUAACGGGACCUAACCCAUAGACAAAGGGAACGAACAGUUAUAACCGUGCUCGACUACG